AUACGUAGGGUGCGAGCGUUGUCCGGAAUUACUGGGCGUAAAGAGCUCGUAGGUGGUUUGUCGCGUCGUCUGUGAAAUUCCGGGGCUUAACUCCGGGCGUGCAGGCGAUACGGGCAUAACUUGAGUACUGUAGGGGAGACUGGGAUUCCUGGUGUAGCGGUGAAAUGCGCAGAUAUCAGGAGGAACACCGGUGGCGAAGGCGGGUCUCUGGGCAGUAACUGACGCUGAGGAGCGAAAGCAUGGGUAGCGAACAGGAUUAGAUACCCUGGUAGUCCAUGCCGUAAACGGUGGGCGCUAGGUGUAGGGGUCUUCCACGACUUCUGUGCCGUAGCUAACGCAUUAAGCGCCCCGCCUGGGGAGUACGGCCGCAAGGCUAAAACUCAAAGGAAUUGACGGGG
rnacentral:rRNA from 1 species